CGAGGGGGGUCAUGAGAGCCGGGGGGGAUGAGGGGCUGGCUCUCAGUCCCCGCCUCGCGGGGGGUGCCUCCCCCCCCUGCGAUGGGGGCCCUAAGGGCCAGGGGGGAUGUGGGGCUGGCUCUCAGUCCCUGCCUCGUGGGGGGUGCCUCCCCCCCCUGCGAUGGGGGUCCUGUGUCCACAGUCUACAAUACCCCACAGCUCCCAAGAAUUCCCUCACCUGCCUUCUGCCCUUAGGCUCUGGUAGAUUGUAAAUAACCUGCUUUCUUUCUGUUCCCGGGCGGUGUCGAACCCCUGUCGGAGAGUAAAUCCGAAGUAAGGUACCUGCCGUGGGCAGAUUUGAGCUUUCUUCUUGGACACCUAAUACCCACAGUCCUCCAGGCUCCGGUAGAUUGCAAAUGACCUGCUUUCUUUCUGUUCCCGGCGUUUGGACCCCUGUCGGAUAGUAAAUCCCAAGUAAAGUACCUGCCGUGGGCAGAUUUGAGCUUUCUUCUUGGACACCUAAUACCCAGAGUCGUCCAGGCUCCGGUAGAUUGCAAAUGACCUGCUUUCUUUCUGUUCCCGGCGUUUGGACCCCUGUCGGAUAGUAAAUCCCAAGUAAGGUACCUGCCGUGGGCAGAUUUGAGCUUUCUUCUUGGACACCUAAUACCCAGAGUCGUCCAGGUGGGUCCUUAAGGUUCUUAGGAUCCCCGAUGGGGGUCCUAAGCCAGGGGGGGAUGAGGGGCUGGCUCUCAGUCCCGGCUUCGUGGGGGGUGCCUCCCCCCCCUGCGAUGGGGGCCCUAAGAGCCAGGGGGGAUGUGGGUCUGGCUCUCAGUCCCUGCCUCGUGGGGGGUGCCUCC